rnacentral:rRNA from 1 species
UACGAAGGGGACUAGCGUUGUUCGGAAUCACUGGGCGUAAAGCGCACGUAGGCGGAUGUGUCAGUCAGGGGUGAAAUCCCGGGGCUCAACCUCGGAACUGCCUUUGAUACAGCACGUCUCGAGUCCGGAAGAGGUGGGUGGAAUUCCUAGUGUAGAGGUGAAAAUUCGUAGAUAUUAGGAAGAACACCGUGGCGAAGGCGGCCCACUGGUCCGGUACUGACGCUGAGGUGCGAAAGCGUGGGGAGCAAACAGG